rnacentral:rRNA from 1 species
CCUACGGGACGCAGCAGUGGGGAAUAUUGCACAAUGGGGGAAACCCUGAUGCAGCGAAGCCGCGUGAGUGAAGACGUAUUUCGGUGUGUAACGCUUUGUCAGCAGGGAAGUAAAUGACGGUACCUGACCAAGAAGCCCCGGAUAACUACGUGCCAGCAGCCGCGGCAAUACGUAGGGGGCCAGCGUUAUCCGGAUUUACUGGGUGUAAAGGGAGCGUAGGCGGCAGGGCAAGUCUGGAGGGAAAGGCGGGGGCUCAACCCCCGGACUGCUGUGGAUACUGGCAGGCUUGAGUGCAGGAGAGGUAAGUGGAAUUCCGGGGGUAGCGGUGAAAGGCGUAGAUAUUAGGAGGAACACCGGUGGCGAAGGCAGCUUACUGGACUGUAACGGACGUUGAGGCUCGAAAGCGUGGGGAGCAAACAGGAUUAGAUACCCGGGUAGUC